rnacentral:lncRNA from 1 species
UGAUGAAUUUGUGUGUGUUGUGGCUGAUGUGCAUUUUGGUGCUUUGUAUGCAAGUUUAAGAAUAUCUUAGCAAUAGGAAAGGAAGAUUUAUGGCAGUUUAAUUAAUGAAUAUAAUGAAGGCUAAAACUUGUAGAUAAAUUUAUAAGGUGCUUAAGAGCUCUUCAAUUUGUUAAUGGAAAGAAACACCAUUUACACCGGAUGGCUACAAAGCAACCUUAUUCUGGAUCCAGUUGAAAAUCAGGCAUUGCAUCCAGUUAUCAUGGCUUUAAUCUUAAUGCCUUCCCUGCACUGUUUUGGGAAUAUCUUAAUACUGCUAUUUUUGAAGAGUCCAGCUCAGUUAUUCUGCAGAAUAGGGAGAUUUGAGACAGGAGAAGAGAAGACACGAAGGAGGGAAGGAAGUGAUGUGACCACAGAGGCAGCGAUUGGAGUGAUGUAGUCACAAGCCAAGGAGCACCAACAGCCACCAGGAGCUGGAAGAGCCCAAGAGUAUAUACUAAUACCUGGAUUUGGGACUUGGGACUUCUGGUCUCUAGAAGUAGGAAAGAAUAAACAUCUGUUUUUUGUU